rnacentral:rRNA from 1 species
UACGUAGGUGGCAAGCGUUGUCCGGAUUUACUGGGCGUAAAGAGCUCGUAGGCGGUUUGUCGCGUCUGCCGUGAAAGUCCGGGGCUCAACUCCGGAUCUGCGGUGGGUACGGGCAGACUAGAGUGAUGUAGGGGAGACUGGAAUUCCUGGUGUAGCGGUGAAAUGCGCAGAUAUCAGGAGGAACACCGGUGGCGAAGGCGGGUCUCUGGGCCGAUGACUGACGCUGAGGAGCGAAAGCGUGGGGAGCGAACAGG